CCUACGGGAGGCAGCAGUGGGGAAUAUUGCUCAAUGGGGGAAACUCUGAUCCAGCGACGCCGCGUGAGUGAAGAAGUAUCUCGGUACGUAAAGCUCUAUCAGCAGGGAAGAAAAUGACGGUACCUGACUAAGAAGCCCCGGCUAACUACGUGCCAGCAGCCGCGGUAAUACGUCGGGGGCAAGCGUUAUCCGGAUUUACUGGGUGUAAAGGGAGCGUAGGCGGCAGCACAAGUCUGGAGUGAAAUCCCGGAGCUUAACCCCGGAACUGCUUUGGAAACUGUGGGGCUGGAGUGCAGUCGGGGUAAGCGGAAUGCCUGGUGUAGCGGUGAAAUGCGUAGAGAUCAGGAGGAACACCGGUGGCGAAGGCGGCUUACUGGACUGUAACUGACGUUGAGGCUCGAAAGCGUGGGGAGCAAACAGGAUUAGAUACCCGAGUAGUC
rnacentral:rRNA from 1 species